GGAAGAGACUGCGGCGAACGAAGUUCGCCACUUCCGCUUCCGGCUCGGGAGGGGUUGGAAGAGGCGGGGUUUCCGCGAUGGCGCCGUCGGCCACGUUCGAUCCCUUCAGAUAUUUACCUGCUAAGCUCCUGGUGGUCCCGAGUGACCCCUGCUGUGAGCAGUGGCCUCCCUUUCUAGACUGUCCCGAUCAACCUGAGAGGGACUAGAGUCUAUAUCCAAGGGAUGUCAUGGAGGAUAUCUCUCUUGGUGUUGCAAGGAACAUCAUAAUUAACAUGGUGAUGAAGAAAGGAAAAAAGAAGAGAUAAGACAAAGGGCAAAUGGUAAAGUGAAAACGCCAGAUGCGAUGCUCCCAUCUCCAUGGAAUUCUUUAGAACCCACAAGCAGUGACCUCUGCC